CUGUCCUGGAAGGGGAGGGAGGGAAGGGAGACAGACGGGCAGGACAGAGAGCUCAGGAGCCCUGGGCUGUAAGCCUUACUUGAAGGAGAAGAGCUGUUGGGCAGGCUGUAAAGAUUGAGCGUGAGUUUCUUCCUCUGUGACAUCGGGGUGGCCUUCCUGCCUAUUUUCCUGGUGGCGUGGGUGUGAGGAUCGUGUGAGCCGACGGACAGGACAGGGUUCUGACAAUGCAAGGCAUGCACAGGUCUCCAUCCACUGGAUCCCAGGGGCAACUAGCCAAUCCGCAUAGCCGAGGGUUUGCCCUUUGAACUACCCAAACUUUCAAAUCCCAUCGAGUCUUCGGAUGGAAAUAUUUUUAAAACUAUGACCUGUUUCCAGCUUCAUGAAAUGGAGCAUCCUUGAAGGUAGGUUGUGUUGAUGCUUUUGAAAUCUACCAAAGGAUGCCAUGUUAUUGUGCUUUUAAAACCUUUUUGGUCUCUCGAGGUCAGCUAUGGUUCCUCACUGCUGUCAGUUACAGUUCUUCUCCCGUAAAACUUCCUUCUCCUAAUCGGCUGCGGAUUUGGGAAGCAACCCCUCCACUCUGUCAGAGCUGCGUGGAGAGUAAGCGUGACAGGCUCCUGAGCCAGCGGUCUCGUGAGUCAAGGGCAGGAGGUUCAGAGGAGGCAGCUGCUUCCUCGCUCCUGGUCUUGGCCGUGAACGCAGGUGAUGUGCGGCCGGGGCACGUGGUCUUAACUCAAGGUCACGCCUUCCUCAAGGGCUCUUGCAGUCAUACCCUCCACUCCGUUGCUCCACCCCAGCCUCCCCUUGCCCUCCGUCACCUGGCGUUCUGCAGCAGCCCCCUGGCUGGACAUCUCACCCACUGAUGGACCCUCCCAGUCCGUCCUCGCAAUACACUGUCAGCCAUUUUCCAGAAGACAGAUCUGAUCACCUUCCUUCGAUGCUUGAAACCCUUUGCUGUCUCUGCAGAGCCUCAGAAUCAAGCCCACUCUCUGGCUCAGUACACUGCUCCCCAAGGUCCCCCUGUGGGGACCCCUCUAGCCUCUCCUUCCAGCAACCCUGCUCCCAUGCCCUUCGCUGUGGCUACAAGGAACCAACAUGGGAUGCUGCAUUCUCUGGCUUCACGUGAGUUAUCCUGUCUGCCCUUCCCCACUUCCCCACCUGGGAAAAUUCAGCGCAGGUGUCACCUCCUCUGAGAAUCCUCCAUUACCCCCUUCUAGGCUUAUUCAAGUGGCUCCUCCACCACUACCUCAUGGGCUGUGGGGAUGGUUUAAGUCAGAGAUUCUGGAGCCUAACCACCUGGGCGCAGAUCCCAGCCCUGCCCCUUCAUCGCCGUGUGACCUUGGGCAAGUCACCUGACGCGGUUCCCCCACAUGAAAAAUGCGACUGAAAGAGGUGGCCAGCUCGUUCACACCACCACGUGUCAAGCGCCUCGUGCCACGCCUGCUGCAUCGUAAGCACGCCGUUAGUGCGAGCUAUUUUGCUGAUCUGUCUUGUAACUACUGGUUUGCAGCGUCCCCCACUAACCCCAAGCUGUUCAAAGGCAGGCCCGGUCUUCAUGCGUGUGUUCUUCCUCCCUGGCGUCUGGUGCUGGACCAGGCACACAGCAGCUGCUCCAUAACAGCCAAAUGCAUGAAUGGAAGUCAAGUGCAGUGUUAGCUGGGAGGGUCCUUCCGCAGCACGAGUGAACGCCCGGCACUGUGUGAGCGAGUGUUCCUGGCAUGCCAGUCUUCUCCCUUGAGCCAGAUGGUGAGCUCCCGGGGGUGAGCGAGCAGGGCCGUCCCCUCCCUCGGCCGUGGUGCCAGUCGCUGCCUGGCCCGCUGGGGCCCGGUGAGCACCCGGAGGGGAGCCCGGUGCUGUCCGUGGUGCUGAAGAGGGCUGCCAAGUGACUGAUCCUCUGCCCGAGGUGGGAGGUGGAGGGCUUUGCCUCAGGGAAGCCAGGAGCGGGUUCUCCAUCUCAGAUCCCCGCCAGCACAUUUUGUUCUGACAUCUCCCUGGCACCUUUGCCAGUGACGUGAUGGUGCCUGCACAGCUUGCUCUCUGCUUUCAGAAUUUCCUGGAGAACUGUCAUAUCCCGCCAUCCCCUCCCACCAUGGCAGGCGCCUCCAAACUUGGGUGUGUUACCCAGAGACCUGGGUUAGGGCCUGGAACACCAGCUGUGGCCCCACCUGCCAGCCAGCCAGCUCCACACUUUCUCCAACCUGCUGGUCCCCAGCCCAGGCAACCUCUUGACAGCCCUGUCCUCAGGGCAAGCAAAGCAGGGAAAUACUGGCCACAAAGUGGGGGUGAAGAUAAAUUCAGAUCCGGUGCACACGGGGGAGCUAGAUGGUCCAAGCUUUUAGACAGACACCUGAGUUGGAAUGCCACCACCCUGUGUGACCUUGGGUGGUUUCUUUCAUCCCUGAGCCUCAGCUUCCUCAUCUGUUAAGUGGGAAUAAUUCCUUUCUCAAGGGUUAUCAUGAGGACGAGAUUAGACAAUACAGGUAAAAGUGCUGACAAUUGGGCCUGGCGCAUAAUAAAUGCUCACUAAAUGGUAGCUAUUAUCCCUCAGACUUCCCUUGAUGAAGGAGCCUUAGAAUUUCAGAGUGGAAGAGAAUCUAGUCCAACUUAUUCAGUUCACUUACAAGGAAACUGAGGCUCAGCCAGGUGACAGGAUUUGUCUAAGGUCACAGGGCCAGGAAGGGAGAGGACUCAGGAUAAAGGGGAGCUUCAGAUUCAUUGUGACACCAGGACGCCAUAGUCAGGGCCCGGGGGUCACCCACAGGCUAAGGGUCAAGGUGUUUUCCAUUUAACUCCAGGAAAUGUCCUUGGUUCAAACCUUAAAACUGAGUCCCUGCCCCACCUUCGUCCCGGUUACCUCUCAACCACACCGCCAGGCUGGUGGCACCAUCAUCCCCAUCUUCCAGAGGAGAGGACGGAGCCGCAGAGGGCGCAGGAGACGGGCCACACAGCGCCUCCCUGCCGGGGUCGCGUGAAGGUCAUGCGAGGCGAGCAGGUGGGAGGUCCCGGGCGGGCCUGCAGAGGAUGUACUUGGAGACAGCACCCUCCUGUCCCUCCUGAAGGAGCUGGUCCUCAGGUUUCCGAGCAGCAAGGAGCAUCCCGGUUCACGCCCCCAGAGCCUCUGCGAGUUAGCAGGUUGGAGCACAAUCUCCUCAGAAGAUCACGGGAGAGACGCCGGCAAUUCGAGCCAGCAGAGCAGCUGCCUGGAGGCCGACGGGGAGCUGCUGAGCACGCGGAUGCGAGGACACAGACGGCGGGCAUUAGAGGCCUCUGAGGAUGCCUUUGAUCUCCUGGAGCACGUGGCCGGGCCCAGCCAGAAGGAGGAAAACCCACUGGCCUCCAUCCAGGGCACCUGGGCUCAAAUUCCAGCCCCGGAGCUCAUUCUGAGAUCUAACAUUGAGUCGCCCGUGAGCUCAGAAGCUCCGUUCCCAGAUUUUAAAAACGGGAAUCACAACUCCUACCUGAGCCUGUGGGGAGGGCAAAUGGGAUGGUCCAUGGAAUGCACCCAGCACGGUGCCCCCCCAUCGUGGGUGCUCGGUACACGUCAGUGCCCUUCUUGUCCUUCCAUCCUCACCUGUAUUUACCCAUCGAGCAUUUAUUGAGCACUUACUAUGUACCAAGUGCUAUUCCAAGGCCCGGUGAGCUGGCGGCUAACAUGGCAGUGACCUGCUCUCAUGCAGUUUACGUUUUACUGGAGAAAGUCAGAAAGAAAGAAGCAAGUAAUAAACAAGAAAAUGUUAGCCGUCAGUGAGUGCUUUAAAGAACAUUCAACUCUAUCGUGAUCAGGACUGGAGGCAACAUUACAUAGGAGACUUGGGGCCUUUCUGAAGAGAAGAUAAUGAGUAGAGGUCUGAACAAAGAUCUGGAGGGAAGAACAUUCCAGGUGGAGGGAACAGCAAGUGCAAAGGUCCUGAGGGUCUCUUGUUAGUCUGUAAAGUCAGUUCACUAGGCGGGGCCUUUAACCCCAGCAAUGAACUUCUGCCCUGGGUUCUGACCUUAAAAUGCCUGAACAGGAAGGAAGGGUCCUUGGAGAUGCUCUGUGAGUCCAAGACUGUCAUUCAAAUGGAUCAACUGAGGCCCAGAGACUUGCCCAGGAAUGUGACUUGCCCAAGGUCCUACCACAAGUUAGAGACUCCACCAACCAGGAUGAUGUACCUCUGCAAGUGACACAAAAGCCCGACAUCAGUGGCUUAAACAAGUUUGUUUCUCUCUCCAAAAACAAAGAGAGGUCAGCAUCCCAGGCUGGUACAGCAGCUCCACAAUCCGCAGGGACCCAGGCUGCUCCUCAUUUACUCUGCCAUCCUCAGCAUGUGACUUCCACCUCAUGACCCAGGGUGGCUGCCCCAGCUGCAGCCAUCAUGUCUGCAUUCCAGAGCAGAAAAGCAGAAGGCUCGAAAAAGAACACGUCCUUCCCAAAAAGGACACGCCCCAGUGGUUGCAGUUAUAUUGCGUUGGCCAGAACUUAGUCAUGUGACUGCAUCUAACUGCAAAGGAGGCUGGGAAAUGUAGUCUUUACUCAGGACAGCCAUGCGCUCAGCUCAAAAUUAGGGGUGCCAUUCAUCGGGAAGAAGAGGAGAACAGAUAAGGAGGGACAGCUGGCCCUCUCUGCCACAAGGACAAAGUCAAGACUGGAACCCACAUGUCCUGACUCCCCUAGUGCUCUCUGCACUGCCCUCUCCCCCUGUCGUCCCCCUCACAAUGAGCAAAUAGCAGCCAAAUGCAGGGGAACCCCUGGGAGAAGGGCCUGGAGGAUGUAGAAGGAGGAGGGGCACACCAAGGGGGAGGAGCCGUGACGGAGGGAGGCCCAGCUGCCGAGCCUUCCCCCAUGCCCAUUGCUCUCACCGGUCGGGCAGCUGGCCCUGAGGCCCAGGGCAAGGAGACGUUGCUGUCACCUCCUUCUGGGGAGGCAGCUGGUGACACAGCUCCCGCAGUUCCCCAUUGUUCCCAGGGGACAGAGUGGCAGGUCGGUGGGAUCCCACAGUGGCAGCAUUUGAGGGCAAGGGAGGUGGUUAAGCAGCUGGCACAUGCAGCCUGCCCACCCCCCCCAGCCUCCCUCUCCCGCCCCUCCUGGGUGGCUGUGUGGGUGGCGGGCAGGGCUUCCCCGUGGGCCUCGCUGCGGGACUCUGUCUCCUGCCUGACACUGAGCACUGAGUGCCUCCUGCUUCCUUCCUCCUCCCGCUGCCCCCUCCUCUCUCCCUGCCCCCUCUUCUCCGUCACUUACUCCUUCCCGCCCCUCACCUGUAUCUUUCCUCUCCCCCUUCCUCCUCUUCACUCCUCUUUCCCUCUCUCCUUCCAGCAUUUUCCUGUUUCCUGCCUUUUUUCCUUCUUCCCUUUUGGGACUCCUCCUCUCUCUUGCCCUCUCGGCCUCCCCCAGCCCUUCACUGCCCGUGGCCCACUCUCCAGGGGCCCUCGUCGCAGCUGGGGACAGGGCUGGGUCAGAGGUCACUCAUGAGCAGCCUAGGUGGAAGGUCACGUCUGCUCCGGACCUUCCCAGAAGUCUCCUGCUCCCUGUCCAGCAUCAGGGAGCUACCUGCCGACCUGUGGCUCCAGCCCCCCCACCGCGUGGGGACAGGAGAGUCGUGCACAUUGAGCCAACUACACGCUAGCCACCGGCACAGCACUUUACCCUUGCCACGGCCCACUGAGGCUGUUCGCAUUGUUCCCAUUUUAUAGAUGAGGAGACCGAGGCCCCCAGAGGCAGAGUUGUUAGAAACCAUCCCUUAAAGGGGUGGGAGCCAGAAUAGGUGCCUGAGAGGCUCCCUGGCGGGUCCCUGCCAGCCCCAGCCCUGGUCCGACGCUCAGUCCCCAUGCUCACUGGCAGCCCAGCCCAUCAGCCUUCACAGAGAUCGAGCGAGGAGGGGAGGAGCAUGGUAGGUGCCCCACAAGGAGGUCUCGGGUCUUUGCGGCCAACUUCUUGGCUCCUCAGGGCUGCUCAGCCUCAAACUUCAAAUAGCCUCCCUUCCCUCUCCCCCAGCAACCACCUGUCAGACACAUAGAGAUGCACCCACACGUGGGACAUCCACAGCAGAUGUUGCCUCCCACUCAGACUGCCUGUGCGGGUGAGAGGGUGUACACAUAACGGUGGUGUUGGUGGUGGUGAUGCUGGUGGUGGUGGUGGUGAUUGUGGUGGUGGUGGGGUUAUUAUAGUGGAGGUGGUGAUGGUGGUGAUAUUGGUAGUGAUGGAGGUAAUGAUAAUGGUUGUGGUGAUGGAGUUGGUGGUGGGGUUAUUAUAGUGAGGGUGAUGGCAGAGAUGGUGGUGGUGGUGAUGGUGGUGAUAUUGGUAGUGAUGGAGGUGAUGUGGUUGUAGUGGUGAUGGUGGUGAUGUUGGUAGUGAUGUAGGUAAUGAUGGUGGUUGUGGUGAUGGUGGUGGGGUUAUUAUAGUAGAGGUGGUGAUGGUGAUAUUGGUAGUGAUGGUAGUGAUGGAGGUGAUGAUGAUGGUUGGGGUGAUGGUGGUGAUGGAUUUGGUGGUGAGGUUAUUAUAGUGGAGGUGAUGGAGGUGAUGAUGGUGGUGGUGGUGAUGGUGGUGAUAUUGGUAGUGAUGGAGGUGAUGAUGGUGGUUGUAGUGAUGGUAGUAAUGAUGGUGGUGGUGGGGUUAUUAUAGUGGAGGUGAUGAUGGAGGUGGUGAUGGUGGUGGUUGUUCUUGUGGUGGCGGUGGUGAUAAACUACCUCUGUUUAGUCGCACAUCAAUGCACAAUAUACCUACUACCCAUACAUACAAUAAAGAAAAACCAGAGCGUGAUUAGCACUGAGUAACGAGAGUCUGUUGCUGACAGAUGACAAUGUUCCCAAAAAAUCAUAAAUCGUGUUCAGAAUAAGACAUAGACCAGGCCAUUCUGUGCCCCCACAAAUGACAUGGCUCCCCUCCUCUCCUCCGCCUUUCCCGAUGAGUGCGGCUCCCUUACCAGAGACAGCUGCCGCCCAGCCUUCCCCCUCCGGCCUCCUGGAUCGAGAUGACAUGUGCCCACUCUGGACUGGACUCUCUUCCCU
rnacentral:lncRNA from 1 species